UGGAAAUUUAUGAUAAGAGUAUAGAAUUUUUUGUACUCAUGAAGUUUUGUUUGGUAUUACGAAAAUAUUACGUCAUAUAUUAUGAGAAAGUAUGAUAGAAAAAUGUCAUAUUUAUUUUUGUAUAUAAUAUUGCGUUUUGUAUAUCGUAAUGAGUCGAUUAUGAUAUAUUUUUUACAGUCCCAUCGAAGAACGUAGAAAUAUAUCCCUAUAUAUUUUUAUCCCGACUUAAUUUUAUCUAAUAGCGUCAAAUAUACCUCAAUACCAAACUAAGCCUAACUCGUUUUCGAUAAUGGAGCUUCCGAAUCGAUGAUCCACUCGGUUAAAUAUGAUAUAGAGUAUUUGAAACUUUUAAAAAAUAAAUUUCGUAAUUUUUCGAAAUCAUAAUAAAAUCCAUCAAGCGGACAUAAAAUAGAUUAUCAAAAUUGAACAAUAUCCUAAAAAUGGAUUAUCAGAUUUUUCAAUUCAAGAUCGGAGUUAUUAAUCUCUAUCUAGAUAGUGAAUAGAAUUUUCUAUCACAUUCAACCAAUUUUGAUUCUUUUACACCGCUAAACUAGCAAGUAUUCCAUACCCGCCGUUAAAAAUUGCCAAUUUUGAGAUAUUUUGAUCGAAAGGUAAAUAAUGUCCAAAAAUUAUAAAAUUUGACUUCUAAAAAUUUUAAAUGCUCUAGAUAAUGUUUAACAGUAUGGAUCGUCGAUUCGGAAGCUGUAUCAUCGAAAACAACUUAUGAGUACGAGAGGGAUCGUACUCAUAAGAAUACAGCAGCCGGAAUGAUCCAAAUCGACGAUCAGCACCCUUACAUAUAAUUUAUAUCACUUAAAACAUCUAUAGAAACUAAAUGUCACAGUUUUUCGAUAUUAUUCUCUUAUCUAUCAAGUAGACAAGAAAAUGAACGGUUGGAAAUGAAUAUCAUUUAAAAUUUGAUGAUAGGAGUUUUGUAAUCAAGAUCAAAAGUAUAGAUCUUACUUAAAUAGUUUAAAAGAUUUUCUAACUAAAUUCAAUUAAUUUGACUAUCUUUGUGUUGUUAAACAAGAAAACGUCUCAUAUUGACCAUUAAAAUUAUAAUUUUUGAAACAUUAGGUCAGUGAUGUCGGUAAUUUAAUUUCUAAAUAUUUCAAAUAGUAUAAGAUUAUAUCAACAGUACCGAUCAUCGAUUCGGAGGCUCUAUCAUAAAAAACGAAUAGAUGACAACAAAACUCGUUUGCUAUUUAUCGCAUUUCAAACUCAACUCUCUCUAUAUAUACACCACCUACGAUUCUAAUCAGCAAUAAUAUAAUAAAGUUUUAAUUAAGCGUUAAAAUCUUUUUAAGUCGUGAAACUAGGAUUCUAAUCAGCACUAACAGAGAAUUCCCUUUGAAAAGAGAAUCAUCAGACUCCAAAAUUUAUGCAUAAUUACAGAAUCCUUGAUUAUUUUCUGAAUUUGUUUUAAUUUUUCCUUUAAAGAAAAACAUUCUUCCUUUUGAUCUUUUCCACAUAGAAAUGCACAUUCACACCCCCUCAAACAUGAUCAAGAGUCUGCUUUAUUUGAUUCAGUAGAUACAUACAUACAUACAUACAUACAUAUACAUAUACAUAUACAUAUACAUAUACAUAUACAUAUACAUAUAUAUAUGUAUAUAUAUAAGGAGUACAUUUUUGUUCUAUCUCUCUCAUUUAAUUUCUAUACAAAUUUCUCACCAUUGCCAAGAAAAUAGCUCUUUAUGAACAUAUAUAAGAUCCUAGAAUCUAAGAUAAGAUAGUACANUCUAUUUUACUGAGUUUUGCUAAAAUAUAUAUAUAUAUGCGCAUGAGAAAAAAAACAAAAAAUACGAGUUCCCAUAAGAACGUGUAGACAACGUGAGUGCGUUGGGAUAUUGUGGAAACGUAUACAUCAUCCACAAUAGCCUUUUGCGUUACGGAGAGGCCCCAAAGAAAACAUAUAUAUAUACACACAUGCACUGAUCAAUUUUGUUCUCAGGGUUACGUAGAUAGAGAUAUUUUUGAGGAUGGGGUUUGUUAACGAAUUAUUGUAGUUGUUGUUGUUGUUGUUGUUAGAGAGAGAGGGAGAGAGAGAGAGGGAGGGCCACACGUGUGACGUGGCUACAGGAACUCCCUACAACAAACCAAUUUGGGGACCCACCACUUCACACGUGGGAUCCUCUUAACACGUGGAAAUUUGUGAUAAGAGUAUAGAAUUUUUCGUACACAUAAAGUUUUGUUUGGUAUUACGAAAAUAUUACGUUAUAUAUUAUGAGAAAAUAUGAUAAAAAAAUAUCAUAUUAUUUUUGUAUAUAAUAUUGCGUUUUGUAUAUUGCAAUGAGUCGGUUACGAUAUAUUUUUUGCAGUCCCACCGAAGAACGUAGAAAUAUAUCCUUAUAUAUUUUUAUCCCGACUUAAUUUUAUCUAAUAGCGUCAAAUAGACCUCAAUACCAAACUAAGCCUAACUCGUUUUCGAUAAUAGAGCUUCCGAAUCGAUGAUCCACUCCGUUAAAUAUGAUCUAGAGUAUUUGAAACUUCUAAAAAAUAAAUUUCGUAAUUUUUCGAAAUUAUAAUAAAAUCUAUCAAGCGGACAUAAAAUAAAUGGUCAAAAUUGAACAAUAUGCUAAAAAUGGAUGAUCAGAUUUUUCAAUUCAAGAUCGGAGUUAUUAAUCUCUAUCUAGAUAGUGAAUAGAAUUUUCUAUCAAAUUCAACCAAUUUUGAUUCUUUUACCCCGCUAAACUAGCAAGUAUUCCAUACCCGCCGUUAAAAAUUGCCAAUUUUGAGAUAUUUUGAUCGAAA
rnacentral:lncRNA from 1 species